UGAGUAGGCGGUUGCAUAUGUCAGAUGUAAAAGGCACAGGCUUAACUUGUGUUAGCAUUUGAAACUGUGCGACUUGAGUGCAGGAGAGGUAAGUGGAAUUCCUAGCGUAGCGGUGAAAUGCGUAGAUAUUAGGAGGAACACCAGUGGCGAAGGCGACUUACUGGACUGUAACUGACGCUGAGUCACGAAAGCGUGGGUAGCAAACAG
rnacentral:rRNA from 1 species